rnacentral:lncRNA from 1 species
GGACUCCUACGGGAGCCGGACUUCAUCCUCGACUCCAACGGCUACAGACAGACUUCGUCCGGGCCCCUACGGGAGCCGGACUCCACCGACAACUCCGACCUCAAGUUGACUCCGCCUGGACUCCUACGGGAGCCGGGCUCCGUCCUCAACCUCAACUACUGGUAAGCUGUCCGGACUCCUACGGGAGCCGAACUUCGCCUUUAACUUUGAUUG